AUGAUCACUUCUGUGACAGGAUUUCCUCUGCCUGCACACGUUCCAACAGCGCCUACAGGAAUCACAACCACGCUUUGUGGGUUGUUUGGGAAUAGCACCUGUACCUGUCCCUUUAGCUGCAAUAGGAGCUAUUUGGUAGCUUGGGCCGCUCUCACACCUGAGAGCAGCAUGGACACACACUGCACACCCUUGGGUAGGACUGACUGUGUGUCCGUCAUGCUAUCCAUAUGCCAGUCAUGUAGAACUUAUCUAUUUUUUUUUAGCUUGAAGUUCAGAUUGCAACUUCUCUAUUUUGCGCUCUGAUGUCUGGGACUUCACAGUGGUAUCAAGCAUAUUAGUCGCUAGUUUGCUGUGUCGCAAUUCGCCCCCCGAGUAAAAACACAACAAGCUCUAUAAUUUGCUUCUUACAUUGUUUGCCAAUAUAUUGUCUAAUCGAAUCUAAUGUAAGACCAUUCUUCACUUUUUUGAUCAAAUUAAUAAUGAGAUGAUUGCCAUAAGUCAAACAUAUUAAUUCCUUGCAUGUUCGUCAUCACGUAAGCUACAUAUUCUGUUACAUAAAUCUGUGAAUCUAAUGGAAUAAAGUGACAUUUUGUCAAAAAUGAAAGCAUGUUGUGUUCCUUUGCCUCGCUACCGCAGUAAACAACUAUCAAGCAGUGGUCUUGCAGUUGCAGUGCAUCCUCACAUACUUGACAUUCGCUAACCUAGCAUGGAUCUCAAAGUCACGACUCAUCACUGGGUCUCGGAUUCACUUUAGAUGUCCACACUCACCAAGAAUGACAUUUGGUAGUUCAUAACAGCAGGCUUUUCGCAUAGUUUUAGCAUCACUGUAAAGCAGAUUUAAAAAAAUGUAUAGCCAGAGCAAUGUGUUUCCUAAGCUACAGAUCCUGCUAACUUUACAGCAGCAAAGGGAGCAUGUUGAAGGAGGAAGGAGAUGGAGUCACAGAUUAAGGUAGAAAAACAUUUGUUCAUAAUAGUCCAUUUACACUAGAGAUCGACCGAUUAAUCGGAAUGGCCGAUUAAUUAGGGCCGAUUUCAAGUAUUCAUAACAAUCGGAAAUCGGUAUUUUUGGACACUGAUUUUGCAGAUUUUUUUUUUUACACCUUUAUUUAACCUUUAUUUAACUAAGCAAGUCAGUUAAGAACACAUUCUUAUUUACAAUGACGACCUAGGAACUGUGGGUUAACUGCCUCGUUCAGGGGCAGAAUGACAGAUUUCCAGAUUGUCAGCUCGGGGGAUCCAAACUUGCAACCCUUACAGUUAACUAGUCCAACGCAAUAACGACAUGCCUCUCUCUCGUUGCACUCCACAAGGAGACUGCCUGUUACGCGAAUGCAGUAAGCCAAGGUAAGUUGCUAGCUAGUUAAACUUAUCUUAACAAUCAAUCAUGAUCACUAGUUAACUACACACGGUUGAUGAUAUUACUAGAUAUUAUCUAGCGUGUCCUGCGUUGCAUAUAAUCUGACUGAGCAUACAAGCAUCUAAGUAUCUGACUGAGUGAUGGUAGG
rnacentral:lncRNA from 13 species